rnacentral:rRNA from 1 species
UACGUAGGGCGCAAGCGUUGUCCGGAAUUAUUGGGCGUAAAGAGCUCGUAGGCGGCUUGUCACGUCGGGUGUGAAAGCCCGGGGCUUAACCCCGGGUCUGCAUCCGAUACGGGGCAGGCUAGAGUGUGGUAGGGGAGAUCGGAAUUCCUGGUGUAGCGGUGAAAUGCGCAGAUAUCAGGAGGAACACCGGUGGCGAAGGCGGAUCUCUGGGCCAUUACUGACGUGAGGAGCGAAAGCGUGGGGAGCGAACAGGAUUAGAC